CAGCAGCUUCCGUGCAGCCCCAAUUAGUGCCAGCGCGUCCUACAGCACGCUUUUGAACUUUGCGUCCAGCUUGGCGUCCAGCUUGGCGUCCUGAUCGCUGAACUUGGCGUCCAGCUUGGCGUUUUGCUCGCUGAACUUGGUGUCCAGCUUGGCGUUCAGGAACUCUGCCAGCGUCGCCCUCCCCUGAAAUGGAAAUACGAGUGAUGUGAGGCGCAUGAAAACUGGUGCAACGUCUUUGCAGGCGCAACGUCUUUGCAGGCUUUACUAGGGCUUCCACUCACGUCAUCAGGAGCCCCGAGCUCGCCCGCCGCAGCGGAAGCUGCCACUUUGGGCGUUCCGCGCAGUAAUUGAGCUCUCGAGCUUUGCAGCUGGAUGCGCAGAGCUGCGAAGCGGCCCGCAAAGCAAGAUUUGCGUCAUUCCGUUAAAGCCCUCGUUUGGGCGCCAGUCUUGCAAAGCGCACCUGUACAGCAUCCGCUGGAUGGCACGCGGUGGACGCACGAGGAGACAGCAGACGCAGGCGGGUUGACUGAUAGGCGCGAGCGCGUCGUUCGCGGCGGAGAGUUUACGUUCACGAACUGUAAGGGCAUGGCUACUGGGGUACUCCAGCAAAGGAAAAUACCAGGGGACUGCAGAUUACAGGAACGCUUGGAAGUGCUACGUGGAUUCACGGAGCUCGCGCUCGCACAAUGAGCCUCUUUCCAAUCGACUUUAGAAUGCUGACAAUGCUCGCCCGCAGUACCGCUGCCUUGUGGGAAUGUGCAAUAACAACACCAAGUAUUUCGGGAAACAUAUUGGGGCGGCCAAAAGCCGAGGUCGGACCCAUUUGGUCGGGGCCCGCCUUCCGCGAAGGUUGACACGCGGCAAACACCCAGCACGCCAACAGGCAGGCGUUUGUUGCCCCCCGCCCUUCCUCCCCCUCCCCCGUCCCGUGAGCUGGUUGCGCCACCGACGGCGGCGCUCAGCGGGGCCUUUGCUGCUUCCAGAGCCAUCCCCCUCUAAUUUGUGCGACCGAAUGCAAGCCAUGCUCGCGCCUAUGCCGCGCCUGCUAUCCACAAAAUACCGCCACCUUCAACUGCCACCACUGCCGUCCAUGUACCCUGCAGGUGCGCGCCAUCGCGAACCACCGAGCUCUCCCGCACGGCAUUGUGUGCUGUCUGUGACGUGUGGCCUGGCCGGGCGACCCGGAGUGCGAGGAGUGCGUUUCAGCGAUUUCAGCCCAGCUCAGCGGCACUACUCAGCAGUUCGUGGACCAUCUAGCCGCAGCACCAGCGCAUCAAACUUCGGUGGCGGUGGUAACGUGGUAUUGGUAAGGGGGGGCUGGGCACUACACGGCACGGGGCGCUGUCUUCCAACGAUCAUCGGUGCCUGGGCUGGGCUGGGCGCACGUGGGUCCUGGGACUGUUUUGGGACUAUUUGGGAUGGUUAUUUCAUCCCUUGCCAAGUUACGUCAACUGCUGCCACCGCGCACCCGCAUGCAGCCUGCCAACGCGCCGCCAACGCUGGCGACCAACCGCUGCGCGCCUUCGAGCUGUUCUUCCUGCAUGGUGGCUAGGAGGCGGCGCUGGCGGUGACGGGCGGGCCGCUGCUCUGGACCACGAUGGCACAGAACGUGCAGAGCCUGCGGUGAGCUGAGGAAGGAGGCCUUGGGGGGCGGGGACAUCUCAUCUGACAUAAAACCGUGGGGUUGGGGCAGCACGUGGCAAGCUGCUCCCUGAAAGGAAGCGAAGACAUCUGAGGUUGUAGGCUGCAUGUCUCCCACCCACCCCUUGUUCAGACGGGGCAGUUCCCCGGGGGCUCGACAGUGCGAUUGAGGCCAUCGACAAGCCGCGCUGCAGCUGUGGCUUGAGCUACAUGCAGAAUAUGUUGCGCCAGGCUGCUGAGAAGAGCACUGGUGCCGGCACGCGUGGACAAGUCUAAGCCCUUGAGCCGUCAAGCCCAGUAGCGAGUACAUAGUCGAGCACAUCUUAUCACUGGUUGACAUCUUAUCACUGGUUGUCAGGCUGUCCUUUUUCUUCAUCACCCACGCAGCCCUGCAAAACCCGAGCGUCAUCACUGCAACGCUCUUCAAUGUGUGUGACAUGUGCCCGUCACUACAACAUGCACCCUCACGUGCCCGCCACACUGCUGUGCGCCACAUUCUCCGCUGCAUCACGCGGGAAUUUCAUUCCGACAUUCCGACAAGUGUUCCCAGGUCACAGGAAAAGGGGCUGAGCCCCUCCACAGUCUGAGGCCGAACAACCUCAUCGCCCCAACAUAGCCGGGAUCGGUUUCCACAGGCACAUAGCCAAACCCUGUGCCUAGCAAUCGUGAUGCCACAGCAGAGCCAACGGCAGCCAGACGCAGCACAGUUCUCAACAGCCGCACUACUUGUCAUGCCGCUACGCAUGCCCUGCCAGCCCCACCGCGGACCGCUACCUAGACACCAGCCGGCUCCUCAGCCUGCGCGCUUGCGCCGCUUUUGGCACUUUUUGUCGACGCAGGCAUCAGGCAGGCACAGGCAGGCACAGGGACAGCUCGCCUGGUCGCCUGGUCUCCCUGUGCCUCAGGGGCAAAGUUAACGCGAAGUGCUAUCCUCUGCAGACCCGUCGGCCACAUCUGCAUAAUUCCCGCCCGAAUGAAUGUGAAUGAAACCUCAUACAACGUGCACGACAUACAUCUACGACUGGCUACAUUCAGCACUCCUCACUGGCUACACGCAGCACUCCUCACUGCCAAACGAAUUAAUCCUGUGCGACGGCAACUACUACUGUUGAAUGUGCUUAGCAUCAUGGAAGGCGGUUUCCCUGCAACAAGCAAACAAAACUCAUAAGAUUACCCAGACACGAUGCACACAUACGUGCAGAUGUUUAUGACACAGAAACGCAGCACACACAUGUACUCGCGUUCCGCACCCCCACCCUCCACACACAAACACACACACGCACACAAAACACGGUAUUGUCUAUCAGAAGCGGCAUCAGGACACAGCAGCAAGAAGCAAGGCCCGGCGCACCUGUCUCCAUGCCAGCAGUGGAGCACCCUGCGACGGCUGGUCUACAGCACGUCCUGGGCUGAGAACACGUCCACGUCCAGCACCUGGGCAGGGCCACACGCCGGGCGCAGCUUCACAGGCUCUUGCGGUGGGUUGCCUUCCACCCUGGCCCACGCCACCACGCCGCGCGCCUUGACGUCCACGGGAAGCUGGUGCCGGAGCACGGCCGACCGCUGGCGUAUGACGUGGUAGCCGCACAGCAGGACCAUCGCAGAGCGUUUGAGCUGCGGAAUGGCGGCGGACGUGCCUGUACAGCAUGGAGCCACACCAGCAAUGCAGUGAUGGAGCUGUAUGUGAUGAACAGCAUGCUCCCAGGGUGGCAUCCGGGUGGCCAACUACCUCCGCAUUACACUAGGCACGAUCACAUGAUCACACACUGCUACGCCAGGGGUAACUGUCUGCUUGCGGCGAGCAAGCCUGCACCCACCCUUGCUGCUGGNNNNNNNNNNNNNNNNNNNNNNNNNNNNNNNNNNNNNNNNNNNNNNNNNNNNNNNNNNNNNNNNNNNNNNNNNNNNNNNNNNNNNNNNNNNNNNNNNNNNCGCUGGCACUAAUAAUGGCAGAAGCGGAGGAGCCGCCGCUGCCGAGGUUGCGCAUACAUGCAGCGGCUGCGGCUGCGGCGCCGAACCCACCGAUGAUACCUUGUGAGCCCAACGCACUGGCAGCCGCUUCAGUAGCUCACUGCGUGCCGCCUCCAGCUUCUGCAGCUGCACCGCAUCCGUGACAGCAAGGAAGCCGAGCAGAGGUGAAUGCAGUCAAGUUUUGCUCAGGAAGGAGCUGCACACGGGGCAAGGGCCAGCAAGCAGGUAGCAUGCGUAGUUACGCCCGGUUGCCAUGCGCACAUAGCUGGCCCGGCGACAAACUGCAAACCAUACCCAUCAUGCAUGCAUUGAGCAACCCGAUACCUACGCCCAUUGGCACAUUGCUGCAGGGCAGCAGGCAGGCAGACCUAACCUGCUGUACGCACCUGAGCCAGCCCGCCCUCCACCUGCUCUGGCCCGGCCCGCUGGAGCAGGGCAAUCUGCUGCUGUAUCUCCGCGACCACUACCGCCAGGAAGCCGCGGUCCUGUGAGCAAGCAUGGUUGAGUUGCGCAUGUCCAUUCAAACAAGGGUUCCAGGACGGCAGUCAGCAUAUAAUCAAACUGCACCCAAAUGCUGUGGUCGCGCGUGUGGUCGUGGAAGAGGGAGGGAACAACCCGAGCGCACGCACGCGUACGGACCCCGGCGUGCCGCCGCCAGCUACGCACCUCCUCUGCAAGCCAAUCCAGCAGCGCCGCCACCGCAGCGUCCAGGUCAGCCUCGCUGCGCUGGGGGCCUGACAGCAGCACCGCCGUGAGGCUCCGUGCGCUGUUCAGCACUGUCCGCCGCCCAGACCUCUCGCCCAGCUUGCGCUCCAGGGACUGUUUACCAACGUGCAGGGGGACUUAGUGGAGAUCCUCCUGUCCGGCUAAAACCUCUCGCCCAGCUUGCGCUCCAGGUAGCCGGACAGGAGGAUCUCCACUAAGUCCCCCUGCACGUUGGUAAACAGCUAAUUAUGGCAGAAGCGGAGGAGCCGCCGCUGCCGAGGUUGCGCAUACAUGCAGCGGCUGCGGCUGCGGCGCCGAACCCACCGAUGAUGCGGUGUGAGCCCAACGCACUGGCAGCCGCUUCAGUAGCUCACUGCGUGCCGCCUCCAGCUUCUGCAGCUGCACCGCAUCCGUGACAGCAAGGAAGCCGAGCAGAGGUGAAUGCAGUCAAGUUUUGCUCAGGAAGGAGCUGCACACGGGGCAAGGGCCAGCAAGCAGGUAGCAUGCGUAGUUACGCCCGGUUGCCAUGCGCACAUAGCUGGCCCGGCGACAAACUGCAAACCAUACCCAUCAUGCAUGCAUUGAGCAACCUGAUACCUACGCCCAUUGGCACAUUGGUGCAGGGCAGCAGGCAGGCAGACCUAAC
rnacentral:lncRNA from 1 species